CCUACGGGAGGCUGCAGUGGGGAAUAUUGGACAAUGGGGGGAACCCUGAUCCAGCCAUGCCGCGUGUGUGAAGAAGGCCCUCGGGUUGUAAAGCACUUUCAGUGAGGAAGAACGCCUGGUGGUUAAUACCCAUCAGGAAAGACAUCACUCACAGAAGAAGCACCGGCUAACUCCGUGCCAGCAGCCGCGGUAAUACGGAGGGUGCGAGCGUUAAUCGGAAUUACUGGGCGUAAAGCGCGCGUAGGUGGCUUGAUAAGCCGGUUGUGAAAGCCCCGGGCUCAACCUGGGAACGGCAUCCGGAACUGUCAAGCUAGAGUGCAGGAGAGGAAGGUAGAAUUCCCGGUGUAGCGGUGAAAUGCGUAGAGAUCGGGAGGAAUACCAGUGGCGAAGGCGGCCUUCUGGACUGACACUGACACUGAGGUGCGAAAGCGUGGGUAGCAAACAGGAUUAGAUACCCCAGUGUC
rnacentral:rRNA from 1 species